UACGAAGGGGGCUAGCGUUGCUCGGAUUUACUGGGCGUAAAGGGCGCGUAGGCGGCCACUGCAAGUCAGUUGUGAAAUCUCCGGGCUUAACCCGGAAAGGUCAACUGAUACUGCAGGGCUAGAGUGCAGAAGGGGCAACUGGAAUUCUCGGUGUAGCGGUGAAAUGCGUAGAUAUCGAGAGGAACACCUGCGGCGAAGGCGGGUUGCUGGGCUGACACUGACGCUGAUGUGCGAAAGCCAGGGGAGCGAACGGG
rnacentral:rRNA from 1 species